AUUGAACGCUGGCGGCAUGCCUUACACAUGCAAGUCGAACGGCAGCACGGGAGCAAUCCUGGUGGCGAGUGGCGAACGGGUGAGUAAAGCAUCGGAACGUGCCCAGUCGUGGGGGAUAACGUAGCGAAAGCUACGCUAAUACCGCAUACGAUCUGUGGAUGAAAGCGGGGGACCGUAAGGCCUCGCGCGAUUGGAGCGGCCGAUUGCAGAUUAGGUAGUUGGUGAGGUAAAGGCUCACCAAGCCGACGAUCUGUAGCGGGUCUGAGAGGACGACCAGCCACACUGGGACUGAGACACGGCCCAGACUCCUGCGGGAGGCAGCAGUGGGGAAUUUUGGACAAUGGGCGCGAGCCUGAUCCAGCAAUGCCGCGUGCAGGAUGAAGGCCUUCGGGUUGUAAACUGCUUUUGUACGGAGCGAAACGGCUUCCACUAAUACUGGGGGCUAAUGACGGUACCGUAAGAAUAAGCACCGGCUAACUACGUGCCAGCCGCCGCAGUAAAAC
rnacentral:rRNA from 1 species